GCAAACCGAGAGCACAGAUACACCACCAUCUAGCCUCUUGCCAUGGAGGGUACACGCUACUCUCAUCAUCUCUCCACUCCCAUUGCGUGUUGGCCUUUCUGGUAUUGGUCUGACCGGGGCAAAGCUUACCCAUGACGAGGCAUGUGGCCAGUUAAAGGGUCCUCGGUCAGCAGGCCCACAUCGACAUGGUCCUUAAUCGACUCAGACGGAGACACUACACCAAGACUUCCUUCUCUUGCAAGUCAACCGCCUGGUCUCGUCUUUAUUAUUUAAAACCCAAAGUUUGGUAUCUGGCAGAGGUACAUCUUUUCCGAUGUUGAACCCACCAUGGCCAUGAUGGAUUCACCAUCAAGUCUUUUCUUUUGAAAAGUUCCCAUCCCACAUGAAGCAUCAUAUUUGUUUAAAACAAACCAUUUUGUUUUCUAAGGCAAGACUAAGCAUCAGAAAACUUUUAAGUAAAACAGGUAUCAAGGAAUGGUAAACAGUUCCAAGGAAGGAAAUGCAACAAUUGUUUAUCACCCAACUCCUAUCACCUAAUGCAUCAUUCCAAGUGAUAAAGAGUUUGAAAUAGCAAGGAAAAGGGUAAAUACACCGGGGCUUGCUUGGAAUAACACUGCGUUAGUGUGGGUAAGACGACGAUCUCUUGAUGAUCAUCCUUGUCCUGGCACUUGAUCAGGUCAUCCGUCCUUAAAUUCGUCCAUCAGCAUCACCAUGCGGAGUAGUCCACCCAUUACGUCAUCUUGGGGUCAACUUGGCUCGUCUUCCGCAUCACGUGCAUAACUAGUGCACCUAAUGAAAUGAAAAAUGCGCAUUUAUGAACAUUCAGAGGAAUGGCACGAGAUAAUAUGAUGCUACACAAAAGAGAAAUAAAACACUUAAUGGUGAGGCCUUACAACACUCACGAGCAAACGCUAGAUAUCGGUAAAUGACUAAGCACCAUAAUCUCAUUGCUCUAGCUUAUUUGGAUCUAACUCAAAUAUCAAGAAAUAUUCAAUUCUAAACAAGGCCUAUACCUUUAUUAGCUAGCCUAGAACACCAAAAUAUUAAUUAUACCUUGGCUCACCAUUACCGAACACCCAUGACUUAGAACAAAAAAAUAGAAAUAAUUUGACUAACCUUUUAGAUCGCGUUUCUAAACUAACUUGAAUUCCACACUAACCGAAUAGGGCAUCGCACUAUUCGAUCUAGCUGGUUGGGCAUUAUCAGACAACAUAUAAUCUUGUGAGAGCAUUUUUAUCCACAAAAGCUUUAAAACAUUGAUAUACACCCUCUAUCAUGAAAUCCUCAUAUUUUAACCGAAACAUACUUGUCGAUGCUAUUCACGUUAAAAUACUCGAGUAAUGAUCAACAUUCAUUCAUGACAUCUAAUCUAUUACUAAAUAUAGAAUAUAAUGACUAUCAGAGCAAAUCAUCGACUUCAUCAAACAUCACUCAUGCUUACCAAUAUUCUUCGCAUAAAUUUGCCUCAAAAUUCUAGACUACAACCUCCGACGCGACUACUUUAUAAUUCUAAAAACAAUUAUAUUGCCAUGGAACAAUACACCAACACGACAACGGAUCUAGCCAUAAUUAUCAAGCGCACUUCUGCUAAGUAAAGGAUCAUCGCACUAACACACUAAUUUAUUCAAUGAUCCAACUAUCAUGAAUAACCCAUCUACUUACCAAUACCAAAACAAUUUGAUAAUAGCAAUUCGACGAUGAUCUAUACUUCACUCAUUUUAACGAACAUCCGAAGAGUGCUACACUAGAGCUAAUUUCACCACACAAACAAAAAUCAACUAACCUCAAGCGGCAUCGAUUGAUCCUACCGACCACAUCAUUCGCUUCAUCCAUCUAACAAUUUAGCUAACAAAAAUAAUAGACCAGCUUACCGACCCAAACCAACUAACAAAAUAACAACCUAGCUCACCACACCUUAGGCCAAAUUCUACAAGAACCACGACGAUCACGGGUUCAAGCAUAACACCGAACACCUAACAAGCGUCACUUACUCACUUCACUGCGUACACCAUCUAGCUUUCUAUGCCAAUCGUAUACUGCGAUUCACACAUACCAUCAUAGGGAAAACACAGAUCACUACACAUGGAUCAAAACAAUGCCGAUCAUAAGUUAACAUUUGAACACCACACCUGCUAUCUGAAACACGGACCUGGCGACGUAGAACAAAAGUGGUCGACGAUGGGGUCCCUGACGAGCGUCUGAGUGUGAGGGGAGGUGUCCCGACAAGGUGAGCAAUGACGACAUGACGACGAGGAGCAAGGGGGCUGUUGUUGCGAUGACAGAUGGUGAAGGGCACUGUGGAGCAGGGAGACACGGUCUCCACGGCGACAGGGAAGGUGUAGCAGACCCUAACGACAUGUGGAGGACUAGUUCGCGGAGCUGUUGCUGCUCACUGGGUGAACAUCACGGAGGGCCAAGCACAACAUCUAGAGCGGCAGCGAGGUGGUGCCUAGGAGCUCAGCCGAUCCAAGAACGGAGUUGGGAGGCAUGGCCAACAUGGGUGAGCCCCGUUGGCAAGGCACGGUCGACGUUGAUGCCGAGCAGGGAGAGGUGCGGCCAUGAGGAGGUGCGCCGUGCUGAAGCUGGAGGGGAGGCGUCGUACAUAGGGCUGGGAGCAGCGACGAUGAGGCGCCAUGUCCGAUGAAGACUCUGCGCGGCCGAGCGCCAUGGAAAAUGGGGCGCGCGCGGGAGCUCCAUGGCGAGCGGAUGCCAGGCGCGCGGCCAUGGAGGAACGGGGGAGAAGCGAGCUGGAGAUGGAGGCCGAGCCGGAGCACCGUGAGGGAGAGAUGGAGCGCUGCCGGGGGAGCGCAGCAAGGAAGCAGGGAGCUUGGACCAGGGGCGCGCGCGGUCGUGGGGAAGAAGACGAGGGAGAGAGAGACGCGGCUAGGGCUUGCUGGGAAGACGGCGCGCGGCUUGUGGAGAAGACAGGGUCUUCG
rnacentral:lncRNA from 1 species